GGGAAUGUGUGAUAAUUUUUUUAAUUGGCCUUUAAAAGAGGGUUGUGUAGCUAAGUCAUAAAAGUGUAGGUUGAGUGAUCGAUACUGGAAAUUGCGCUAGCUGGUGCGGGGGUUGUUAUUGCUUAAGGGUUUGAGUUUCCUUUCUUGUGACUAUGUUGUUCAAGUCCAUCUUAUUGCUAUUAUUAUGAUUGGAGGGUUUGUGUCCCCCGUAUUACAUUUCAUGAUCAGGUGCUUAAGUCACCUUAGUAUAUGAUUGGAGGGUUCGAGUCCCCCGUGUAUAUAUAUGAGAUUAUUCUUCGAUUCAUGUAUCUACUCGCACUGGGGCCUGACUAAGGG
rnacentral:lncRNA from 1 species